CACGUAGGGCGCAAGCGUUGUCCGGAAUUAUUGGGCGUAAAGAGCUUGUAGGCGGUUUGUCGCGUCUGCUGUGAAAAUCCGGGGCUCAACCCCGGACUUGCAGUGGGUACGGGCAGACUAGAGUGUGGUAGGGGAGACUGGAAUUCCUGGUGUAGCGGUGGAAUGCGCAGAUAUCAGGAGGAACACCGAUGGCGAAGGCAGGUCUCUGGGCCACUACUGACGCUGGAGGAGCGGAAAGCGUGGGGAGCGAACAGG
rnacentral:rRNA from 1 species